rnacentral:rRNA from 1 species
UACGAAGGGGGCUAGCGUUGCUCGGAAUCACUGGGCGUAAAGCGCACGUAGGCGGAUCUUUAAGUCAGGGGUGAAAUCCCAAGGCUCAACCUUGGAACUGCCUUUGAUACUGGGGAUCUCGAGUUCGGAAGAGGUUGGUGGAACUGCGAGUGUAGAGGUGAAAUUCGUAGAUAUUCGCAAGAACACCAGUGGCGAAGGCGGCUCACUGGCCCGGAACUGACGCUGAGACGCGAAAGCGUGGGGAGCAAACAGG